rnacentral:lncRNA from 1 species
GGUGACACAGAACUAAGCCACAGCGACGUGAAAACCUAAAGGAAGCCUAAAGAGAAUGGAUAAAGUGACUGUUGCACAUGGUCAUGAGAGAUGCUGAGCUCUACGAGAGAAUUUCUUUGCACAGACUUUGUGUAAGGACUACCAGGAGCUAAGGGACAUGGAAACAGAAUUCCCUUGUGGACUGGGCCCAAACUUGGCAUCCUGUGGAACCUCUGGUUAAUGAAGAACAGGUCAAAGAGAAGCCUAAGAGAAGAAGAACCUUGGCUUUGGAGGGUAGCUGAAAAAUAUCACUAAAUAACUGCCUCAAAAGAAUUAUGGUUCUUCUGGUGCUCGUAGCAUCACUUCACUUGGGAAAGGCAGCACAGAGCCAUUGGACAGGCUCUUACCCCCAUCUCGAAUCUCUAUGGGCAUCUCUAUGAAUUUAAACACCAAGUUGCAUUCAGUAUACUUUAUGGCUUGUUCUUUUUUGUGUCUGUGGUGUCUAACACAAUUCUUACUCACAUUAAAGCACGACAAAUG